rnacentral:rRNA from 1 species
AAGGAAUAUUGGUCAAUGGACGCAAGUCUGAACCAGCCAUGCCGCGUGAAGGAUGAAGGUCCUCUGGAUUGUAAACUUCUUUUAUCUGGGACGAAAACGGGAUUUUUAUCUCAAUUGACGGUACCAGAGGAAUAAGCACCGGCUAACUCCGUGCCAGCAGCCGCGGUAAUACGGAGGGUGCGAGCGUUAUCCGGAUUUACUGGGUUUAAAGGGUGCGUAGGUGGGCUUAUAAGUCAGUGGUGAAAUCUCCGAGCUUAACUUGGAAACUGCCGUUGAUACUAUAGGUCUGAAUUAUCUGGAGGUAAGCGGAAUAUGUCAUGUAGCGGUGAAAUGCUUAGAUAUGACAUAGAACACCAAUUGCGAAGGCAGCUUACUACAUAUAAAUUGACGCUGAGGCACGAAAGCGUGGGGAUCAAACA